rnacentral:lncRNA from 1 species
CCCCAUUCUUUUAUGGCCUUGGUUGCAGCCUCUUUCCCUAGCCUUGGUACUUCUACCACAACCAUGUCUUGCCUAGCAUCCAAGGAAGGUGCCAUAUAAGCACACAGGCUUGGGUUCUCUUUCAAUAUCUCUUCAGUCAAAUACAUAUAUCUCUUCUUGAUCAUUGACUUGUCACCUGAAAAUUUGUUACAAUGAAAUUAUAUUAAAGACCUUAAAUUCAAGAUAGCACUAGAGUGAAUCAUAUAAAAAUUCAUAUUGAUUUCUUUUAAGUACUACUUGCAUCACAUUGCUAUCUUCACUCUCAUUUUCUAAUAACUUCUCCAAAUCAUCUUGAUUUUUCUCAAUUAUGAUCCAUAUUAAUUUAAAACCAUAACCAUAUAUAUGGUACCUUAUGGUGAUAUUUCUAUAGGAUUUCUUGGAAAUAACAAUCCUAUAACCCAAUUUCUAUAUGAUUCAUCUACUCUUCAUCCUAGCUAUCAAUUCUAUGAAUAUCUAAUGAUUUCAAUUUAGUCCCUAAUUCAAAUAAUUGGAUUUCCCUAGAAUUGAUCUUAGAGUAUGGAAUCAUUCCUCGUUUUUUAUUGCUCGAUUCAAUGUUCACAUAAGAAAACAAAAAGAACACUAAAUAUAUAAAUUAAAAUCCAUAGAUAAAAAAGAAAACUUACACAUGCGCUGAAAUUUCUCUUUAAGCUCAACCUUAUCCUCACUAUUUGUGAUUCUGAAGUAAUAAUCAGGAUAAGUACUUUGAUCAACACAGUUUGGUGGAGUAGCAGUGCCAAUAGCCAUGAUAGUAGCAGGACCUUCUGCCCUUUGAGCCUUACGAAUCUCAGCAACACUCACCAUUUUUUCUUCUUUUCUUCUUCUAAACAAAAGAUAUUAUUGGAGUUGUAAGUAGUGCAAAUAGUUGUAGUGAAAUAAUAGAAAGUUGAUGGAAUAGUUUAGUAAUAUAAGAAUGAAUGAAUAGAUUAUGAGGGGAAGAUGGGAUUUUAUAUGUGUUGAUGGGGAAGGUAGCUGAACAUCACGUGUGAGUUGUUGUUGGAAGUGUUUGGUAGGUAAUAUUAAUAGUAAUGUGUGCGCAUGACUUAUAAGACCAUGUGUCUACUACAACUUCCAUUAAACAAACACCAUCCGAGAGUUCCAUUGUUACAUGAAUAUGAGAAGAGUCAUAAGUAAAACAUCAUAUCUUCUUGAACCAAAACUUUAACAUAUUAAUUUUAUGGGUUUUUCUUACUUAUAAAUUCUUUCACUCCUUCACACAUAUUAAAUGUGGGACUUCACAAUUCUGACACAAAUGAUAUUACUCUGUAUUUUUGUGGCUAUUAUUUAUUCUGAGGUACAUUGUAUGACAACCUAGCUAUUCAUUCAUUAUUCAAAUAUCUAAUAUCGAGACUCUAUUUCUUUUUAUUUUCUUGUUUUAUAGUCACUCUUCAAUAUUGAUGGCAGCACGCCAAAGAUCCACAUCAUUCAUAAUUCAGAAUGCAAAAGGUAGCUAUAACUAAAUAUUUAGUUGUAUGCUUUUAUCUUUCUCGUGUAUAUUUAUUUUAAUAGGGAAAAAAUAGAGUAUCACUUAUUAUUUAUAUUUAAUUAUCAUUGGUCGAGUCUUAAGUAUAAGUUAUACAAAUAAAUGAAAUAUGAUAUAUUAAUCGUGUAUUUUUUAUGAAAUCAAUCCGUUUCCAGAUACGAGACUUCCUAGUAAAUAUUAUUUUUAUAAAUCGAACUAUUAAUAUUGGGAUCAUAUUGAAGAUCUAGCGAACUUUAAAAUACUAGACUAACACCUAGAUGGUUUAUACUAUUUCAGUAUAAUUCUUAACAACGAAGUAUUAAUCUUUUUUAAAAGCUUAUUGUUAUAUUAAGUUAUAGCUUGAAAAAUAUCUUACUAAUAGAGAGGAAAAAAGAAUGAAAGUAAAUCAUAAUACACUUUUAAGAAUUUGUAUUUUACACUUAUAAUGACCAAGAGGAGAGUUUCAACUUCCAUGUGUGGUUUUCAUGCCAACGACAUUAUUUACUUCAAUGUACGUAUUUUUUUAAUUUUGUUUAUAAAUCGUGUUUCUCAUGCACCACUUUCUUUUUUUAUUUUAUUUUCAUCAAAAUCAUGGCUUUGAGUCAAAAUCGAGCACAAUAAUGAACAAGGUAUUGGUCAAGUAGUGUAAAGCCACAUUGGAUCCCCAAUGUCAACAGUUUGAUUCGUGAGAGCGACACUUAUUGAGAGGAGCAACAAUGAACCUCAAAGAAUUAGUUUCUUACCAAAAAGGUAAGAUAUACCUUGUUAAAUCUAACAUAAUAACAACAAAAUAUUAGUCCAAUAGCGUAAGGUUCGCUAGAUUCAUAAGAUGACCAAAAAGUCAAUGAUUCAAUUCCUGUGAACAACAUUUGUUAAGAUAGACAAUUAUGAAUCCCGAAAAAAGUUAAUUCCUUAUCUAGAAGACUACCAUUUUUUAUUUAACAAAAUAAGAAAAGUAUACUACAUUUUACACUUAACAAAAAAAUUCUAAAAAUGGAACAUAAAAUAUAUAAAUCAUUCCCUAAGACCACAAUUUUGUUAACCUUUGAACUUGUGCCUUAAAACAUGGCCGGUAGCCACAAUUUCAAUGAGCAAAAUUAUAAAAAGUCAUGAAUGAUAAACACAGCUUCCAUCAUUUUUAAGAAAUAUACUAAACUAUUUACUAAGGUUGUGAGGGUCCUACUUCUCGGACAAGGAUCCUCUGUUUCUGAUUGAAUGGGACACUAAGUGAGAUAGGAAUAAAGACAGCUGAUCCUCAUCCCUGCUUAGUGAUCGCUAUCGGACGUGGUUGUAUAAAAAAUUAGAGAACUAGUUGAUUCCAAAAGAAUUUGAAAGUUGAUUGAAAGUGUGAAGUAACAAUGACAGAAGGCAAAACCAGCAAAAUAUGAAGGCUUGGUGAACAAGGUAGAGAUCAUGAUCAUGCCCCAUUUCUUUCAGAAUGACUUUGUUUGUAGAAACAGAAACACAAGCGUGUCCAAUUUGGUGUUUACAUGGUUGAAUGUGCUUAUUAUCACAAAUAUUUUGUUAAGUUAUACAUUAUGUAAUUUUCAAUUAAGAUGAAUGUUGCUAGGCUAUAAAGCUAUGCCAGUGGAUUUAUUAUUAUUAAUCUUAAUAACAAGAACAUACACACACAAAUUCAUGUAGUUUGAAAUGACAAACAUAAUCAUAAAAACAAAAAUUGCACAUCUUAUAUUGCUGGAAUUGUUUUCUCAGCAACUUCAAUAAGCCACACUAUGUAGGACAACAGUUUCAAUGGUGAGUCCUGGUCCAAAUCCAAAAAGCACACCCCAUUCAAGUCCUUCCCCUGUGGUUUUGAGUCCAUCUUCUUUAGACUUUCUCCUCAUCUCAUCUAAGAUAAAUAGCACACAUGCACUUGACAUGUUUCCAUAUUCACUAAGAACAUGUCUAGUGGCUCUCAUCUUUUCAGGUUUCAAGGCCAACUUGGCCUCAACUUGGUCUAAAAUUGCAGGCCCACCGGGAUGUGCAAUCCAAAAUAUUGAGUUAUAAUCGUUUAUGUUUAAUGGGUUGAAGGCUUCAACCAAUGCCUUGUCAAUAUUCUUAGACACGAUUCCGGGAACAUCCUUGAGAAGAUGAAAUGUUAGUCCAACUUCACGAAGAUGACCAUCAAUUGCUCCAUCACUAUCCGGAGCUAUUGUUUGUGCAGUCCAAACCAACUCAAACAAAGGCUUCUCAAUCUCUGGCACUGGGUCAGAACCAACAAUGAGUGCAGCAGCUCCAUCACCAAACAAUGCUUGACCCACAAGACUGUCUAAGUGAGUGUCACUUGGGCCACGGAACGUGACCGCAGUGACCUCAGAACAAACUACUAACACACGCGCACCUUUGUUAUUCUCGGCCAAAUCUUUGGCCAAACGAAGGACCGUACCACCAGCAAAGCAACCUUGUUGGUACAUCAUAUACCUCUUCACAUAUGGGCGAAGACCCAAUAGUUUAGUGAGUUGGUAAUCAGCACCAGGCAUAUCCACACCACUAGUGGUGCAGAAGAUUAGAUGAGUAAUCUUAGACUUUGGUUGGCCCCAUUCUUUUAUGGCCUUGGUUGCAGCCUCUUUCCCAAGCCUUGGUACCUCAACCACAACCAUGUCUUGCCUAGCAUCCAAGGAAGGUGCCAUAUAAGCACACAAGCUUGGGUUUUCUUUCAAGAUCUCUUCAGUCAAAUACAUAUAUCUCUUCUUGAUCAUGGACUUGUCACCUGAAAAUUUGUUGCAAAGAAAAUACAUCAAUGCCUAGAUUCAAGAUAGCACUAGAGUGAAUCAUAUAAAAAUUCAUAUUGUUUUUGAAUAACUUCUCUUAAUCAUAUUGAUUUCUCUCAAU